rnacentral:rRNA from 1 species
AUCUGCAGCCAGACUACAUGAAUACAUCUGAUCUCUGAAGCUACACAGCAAUGUUCCUAGUUAGUAUUUAGGUAAGAGAACCUUGUCAGAGAUU